rnacentral:rRNA from 1 species
GAAAUGCGAUAAGUAAUGUGAAUUGCAGAAUUCAGUGAAUCAUCGAAUCUUUGAACGCACCUUGCGCCUCUUGGUAUUCCGAGAGGCAUGCCUGUUUGAGUGUCAUUAAAUUCUCAACCUCAAAGACUUUGUGUCAAYGAGGCUUGGAUGUGGAGGCUUUUGCUGGCACCUUUUUGGAGUCAGCUCCUCUGAAAUGCAUUAGUGGAAACUUGUUUGCAAGUCCGCAUUGGUGUGAUAAUUAUCAGCGCUAUUGUGGCUUCAAGCUUGCCUGUAGUGUUCGUUUGGAAAGUGCAUGAAUAAUGCUCUCUCUGUUUCACUUGACCUACACAAGUUAAAGUAUUCGCUUCAAACUGUCCUAAGUUAUUGGACAAUACUUGAUUAUUUUGACCUCAAAUCAGGUAGGACUACCCGCUGAACUUAA